rnacentral:rRNA from 1 species
GGUACUCAGUUCGGAUUGAAGGCUGAAAUUCGCCUUCAUGAAGCUGGAAUUGCUAGUAAUGGCAGGUCAGCAUACUGCCGUGAAUACGUUCCCGGGCCUUGUACACACCGCCCGUCACACCAUGAGAGUUGGAAAUACCCGAAGCCUGUGAGCUAACUUUUAGAGGCAGUAGUCGAAGGUAGAAUCAAUGAUUGGGGUGAAGUCGUAACAAGGUAUC